CUCUCUCUCUCUCUCUCUCUCUCUCUCUCUCUCUCUCUCUCUCACACACACACACACACACACACACAGAGUAAUCGGUCAAGAAUCAAGCACUCUCUCUAUGCAAUGAGAACCACAGCAGUCAAGCAAAACCAGGAGAAGUCGAGAGAGCUCAAGCAAAUUGCUUCCCUAAAGUUGGAGAGAUUAGGGUAGAUGGAUUAAUGAUAUAUUGUGAGAUCGUUUUGUCCCCUUUCUUGACUACUAAUAAUGCCAAUGGUGUAUGUAUCAAUUGUGCACUUCAUAAUCUAUUGUCUCUAGCAGGUGAAGCAAAAAUCGUUCUUCUAUCACCUUCCUGAUUCGUUGCCCAUAAAGGAUGUUUUCCAAGAAGAGAAAGGAACAUGGUUCAUCACAUGGAAGUGUGUACUUGGAGGGUUUCUAAUAAGUUGUGUUUACCAGAAUGUCCUGCUGCACACAUCAGGGAUCAAACCUCUAAGAUCCUUGUUUCCACUCUAACAACCAGAUAUAGGGUAUUUGGCUUCGAAGUACCUUCAAUACGGGAAAGCACUCAGAGAAAACUGAUGUUUUCAGCUAUGGAGUUGUGAUUCUCGAAGUGGUAUGUGAAAAGAGGCUGAUUGAUAGAGAAAAUUUUAGCCAAAAGAUGGUAAAUUUGGUUGAUUCGGUUUGGGGGUUGUACUCUGAAGGGAAGGUGGUUAAGGCGGUGGAUGAGAAGCUAAAGCGGGAGUUCGAGGUGGGGGGAAAUGGAGAAGCUUUUGCUUCUGAGUUUAAUUACGUGAACCUGGAUAGCUUUGCAAGGCCAUCUCUAUGAGGAGGGUUUUGCAGAUUUUGAACAAUGAAGCAAAGGUGGUUGUUGUGCCGAAAUUGAAGCUGAGUCUCAGUUCUCCUGUGGAGUGUCAUUGAGUCUUGAAGAUAUUGUUUCAGAUGGAGAAGAGGAAAUUCAGACACCAGGACACACUUUUGAGAUCAAAAUGUGUGAAAUGAAAAUGUGGUGGUCAUUUUUUUUUUUUUUUUAUUAAUGUAGAGCUUGAUUCUUUUCAUCCUUUUGUGUUUUUUUUUCCAUAUAUAGGGAGAAAUAGUGUUUGGUGUUGUUUUGUUCAGUUCAACCACAUCCAAAUCACAAUAACUUCAAUGGCCUGUGUUUGGUGUUCCCACUUUUUUCUGUUUGUUGAGAUUGGAUUAUGUACAGAUGAGUAGUACUACUUCUCUUAUUGCAUACUAAUUUCAGUUUCAUUCGAA